rnacentral:rRNA from 1 species
GUGCCGAAUGGGCUCUCUUCGGCCAUAAGCACGCGCGUGUCCAACGAGCUCGGAGUGGGGCAGCCCCGGGCGGCGCUUCUGGCGGCCCGCGUGGUGAUAGUGCUGGCGUUUCUGGUGGGCACGUCGGAGGGGCUCCUCCUGGUUCUUGUGCACAAAGUGUGGGGCUAUGCCUACAGCAAGGACCAGGAGGUGGUCUCCUACGUCGGCACCAUGAUGCUCAUCCUCGCCGUCUCCGUCCUCUUCGACGGCCUCCAGUACGUCCUCUCAGGUAUGAUUGCAUGUCAUGCAUGUUGUGGAACAAGGCUUUAUUUACUGCACAGUUUGACUUGUAAACAAAAAUAUACACUUCACACCAGUAUAUAUACGUACUUCACUUCCUUGGUUUGUAUGUACCGCCCCCAUCAUUUUGACCGGGGGCAAACAAAUCUACGUAUGGAAUUCGUGGUUAGCUUAGUUAUGAUUGGAUCAAUUAUCAGUCAUCUGCUAAUUCGUAGGGGAGAAGUUAAAAUUUGCAACUCGUCAGAAUUCUAA